rnacentral:rRNA from 1 species
GAUGAACGCUAGCUACAGGCUUAACACAUGAAAGUCGAGGGACCGGCGCCAGGGUGAGUAACGCGUAUCCAACCUGCCCUUCACCACGGGAUAACCCGGCGAAAGUCGGACUAAUUCCGUAUGGUGAAGGAUGGGGCGGCGUCCGUUUCGCUUGACGGCGGGGUAACGGCCCACCGUGGCUACGAUCGGUAGGGGUUCUGAGAGGAAGGUCCCCCACACUGAAACUGAGACACGGUCCAGACUCCUACGGGAGGCAGCAGUGAGGAAUAUUGGUCAAUGGGCGUAAGCCUGAACCAGCCAAGUAGCGUGCAGGACGACGGCCUAUGGGUUGUAAACUGCUUUUAUGCGGGGAUAGGUACCGCAUGAAUAAGGACCGGCUAAUUCCGUGCCAGCAGCCGCGGUAAUUC